rnacentral:lncRNA from 1 species
UUAUCCAGAGCAUGAACAGAAACAACUCACCAAAACUCUGGAUGUCAUAUCAAACAUAUAGAAGGUGUAGUGGGAUCUCAGUCAGAAUGUGAUUCAUCCAGAAUAUCCCACAUAGCGGGACCCCACAUAGCGGGCAAUAAGCGCAUACCCUUUAACAUUUCUAGCAAAGGUCCAGAAUAUCCCACAUAGCGGGACCCCACAUAGCGGGCAAUAAGCGCAUACCCUUUACCAUUUCUGGCAAAGGUCCAGACAAUCCCACACACCAGAGUACAAGAGGGUAGUUUUNN